rnacentral:rRNA from 1 species
AGAGUUUGAUCCUGGCUCAGAAUGAACGCUGGCGGCAUGCCUAACACAUGCAAGUCGAACGAGAUCUUCGGAUCUAGUGGCGCACGGGUGCGUAACGCGUGGGAAUCUACCCCUUGGUUCGGAAUAACAGUUGGAAACGACUGCUAAUACCGGAUGAUGACGUAAGUCCAAAGAUUUAUCGCCGAGGGAUGAGCCCGCGUAGGAUUAGGUAGUUGGUGUGGUAAAGGCGCACCAAGCCUACGAUCCUUAGCUGGUCUGAGAGGAUGAUCAGCCACACUGGGACUGAGACACGGCCCAGACUCCUACGGGAGGCAGCAGUGGGGAAUAUUGGACAAUGGGCGAAAGCCUGAUCCAGCAAUGCCGCGUGAGUGAUGAAGGCCUUAGGGUUGUAAAGCUCUUUUACCCGGGAUGAUAAUGACAGUACCGGGAGAAUAAGCUCCGGCUAACUCCGUGCCAGCAGCCGCGGUAAUACGGAGGGAGCUAGCGUUAUUCGGAAUUACUGGGCGUAAAGCGCACGUAGGCGGCUUUGUAAGUAAGAGGUGAAAGCCUGGUGCUCAACACCAGAACUGCCUUUUAGACUGCAUCGCUUGAAUCCAGGAGAGGUGUGUGGAAUUCCGAGUGUAGAGGUGAAAUUCGUAGAUAUUCGGAAGAACACCAGUGGCGAAGGCGGCUCACUGGACUGGUAUUGACGCUGAGGUGCGA